rnacentral:rRNA from 1 species
AUUGAACGCUGGCGGCAGGCCUAACACAUGCAAGUCGAGCGAGAGGCGGACGGGUGAGUAAUGUAUGGGGACUGCCCGAUAGAGGUAGAUCACUACUGGAAACGGUGGCGAAUACCGCGUACAGUCGGCUAACCCAGAUGGUAUUAGCUAGUAGGUAAGGUAAUGGCUUACAUAGGCGACGAUCCCUAGCUGGUCUGAGAGGAUGAUCAGCCACACUGGGACUGAGACACGGCCCAGACUCCUACGGAGGCAGCAGUGGGGAAUAUUGCACAAUGGGCGCAAGCCUGAUGCAGCCAUGCCGCGUGUAUGAAGAAGGCCGUAGGGUUGUAAAGUACUUUCAGUCGGGAGGCGUUACCGACAGAAGAAGCACCGGCUAACUCCGUGCCAGCAGCCGCGGUAAUAC